AUGAACGCUGGCGGCGUGCCUAAUCCCUGCAAGUCGAGCGAACAGACGAGGAGCUUGCUCCUCUGACGUUAGCGGCGGACGGGUGAGUAACACGUGGAUAACCUACCUAUAAGACUGGGAUAACUUCGGGAAACCGGAGCUAAUACCGGAUAAUAUAUUGAACCGCAUGGUUCAAUAGUGAAAGACGGUUUUGCUGUCACUUAUAGAUGGAUCCGCGCCGCAUUAGCUAGUUGGUAAGGUAACGGCUUACCAAGGCAACGAUGCGUAGCCGACCUGAGAGGGUGAUCGGCCACACUGGAACUGAGACACGGUCCAGACUCCAACGGGAGGCAGCAGUAGGGAAUCUUCCGCAAUGGGCGAAAGCCUGACGGAGCAACGCCGCGUGAGUGAUGAAGGUCUUCGGAUCGUAAAACUCUGUUAUUAGGGAAGAACAAAUGUGUAAGUAACUAUGCACGUCUUGACGGUACCUAAUCAGAAAGCCACGGCUAACUACGUG
rnacentral:rRNA from 1 species